AGAUCACAGUUGAAAUUUUUCAAUUAUCGUCGCAGUUUUGAAGAUUUUUGAUGAUUUGUGCGGAAAGAUUGAUAAUAUAAGUGAAGUUCAUCGAGUGUGACGUCUCGCGGCGGAGCUGCUGUUGAACUGUGUUUUUGAAGCAGGUGGCAGAUUGUUUUUUUUUUUUUUUUUGCAUCAUCAGGAAAGGCGCCCAGAUACGACAUUUAGAUGUCACUCCAAACAGCCGAAGUUAUAUUCAACAUUUUCCUUACUUAAUGCUGGUUUAUCUGAGUCAUCAACUUUGUUAUGCUCUGGGGACCUGUCUGAGAGGGAAUCUACAAAAAUGAAUGUUCACUCAACCAGUGACAGAGCCAGACUGACGGCGUCUCAGGCUGGCAGAUGCAUCUGAUACGUACGAUUUCCAGAUUGAGGUACAAAAUCCUAACCAAAAUUUCACCCAAAAAAGUGUUCUAAAUCCAAAUUUGACGAUAUGAGUUCCACUGUACUUAAACUGUAUGUGGUUGUAGUUUCCACCAGCUCGAAGGCAACAAGCAUGGCAAACCAUUCAGUUUGUAUGGUAAUACCAAGUUAAAAAUUGUAAUAUGUAUCUGUAUUAUAGUACCAUCAGGCUAGUUUGCAAUAACAACACCUCCCACUCUCACACUGUCAGGGUUAAGGAAGUCGUCAAUGUUGAUAGGCUGAGUGACAUUGCUUAUAGUCUGCAGGUCAUGUAUUAGAUCACUGAAUUUAUAAAUUGGUUGAAGAUGAGGAUUGUGCAUAAUUAUGGUGUUUUCUUGGGAAGGUAGGUAGGCAUGGUGAUAUCAGAAGUUGUUAGCUUCCAUACUGGUAAGAAAUGCAUGUGUUUCCUUGCAUGGUACAGUUCAUGUUAUCCGUAUAUUUUUAUGGGUGUGGCUGUUAUUUGAACCCAUUUUGAUUCACUUGUCUUGUGAUUAAUUUGUUCUUGUUAUUCCCUCAAGACAACAUUGUUUUGAGUACCAAACAGCAGCUUCAGUGGUAUCUUGAUAUUGUUCCCAAAUAUUCUAUCAGCAACACUAAGUGGUUAUAGGAGAACCAAGAAUAAUUCAUGGGGUUUCAUUCUGUAAAUCUUUCAAUGAUUUUACUGCACAGCAGGACUAAGAUUGUUUCAUGGUAAUCUGUCAGUAAUCUUUUGUAUGCUAAGUACAGUACAUCAUUUUGGUAAUUUCAACAUAUGCACCAUUUGUGGAACUUUACUCUACAACAGUUCUGAGAGCUUUAAAUUUGUCUUCACAUUGUUGGUUAAUUUUAUUCAAAGAUGUUAUUGUGCAUGGAAGAGUAAUACCUAGAUAUUGAUAUGGGAACACAUAAUUAAUUGGCCUUACACAAAUAACCCGCACAUAGGAAAAAGAAACUUAGGGUGACACUUUGGUCCAACUUGGACUGGUCCAGAUAGGACCGAAACAUCGUCACAAGUUUCUUUCUAUGUGCAGGUUAUUAGUGUAUUCUUCCAGUCAUUGUAUUGUGUGUUUUUUUUAUUAAUUUUUUAACUAAAAUAUGUAAAUUAUCACAUUUUUAAUUGAAACUGCUGUUGCAUUUACAUUUUAUGGGAAA